GGAGUUGUGGCUCAGUGGUAGAGCACUUGCCUAGCAUGCAUGAGGCACUGGGUUUAAUCCCCAGCACCA
rnacentral:tRNA from 1 species